GAUGAACGCUGGCGGCGUGCCUAAUACAUGCAAGUCGAGCGAACAGACGAGGAGCUUGCUCCUCUGACGUUAGCGGCGGACGGGUGAGUAACACGUGGAUAACCUACCUAUAAGACUGGGAUAACUUCGGGAAACCGGAGCUAAUACCGGAUAAUAUAUUGAACCGCAUGGUUCAAUAGUGAAAGACGGUUUUGCUGUCACUUAUAGAUGGAUCCGCGCCGCAUUAGCUAGUUGGUAAGGUAACGGCUUACCAAGGCAACGAUGCGUAGCCGACCUGAGAGGUUGAGCGGCACAAGGGGAAUGAAGACAGGGCCCAGCCCCCAAGGGGGGCCAGGGGGGGGAAUCCUCCGGAAAGGGGAGAAAGCCGAAGGGAGCAACGCGGGGGGAGGGAUAAAGGUUUUGGGUUCGAAAACUUUUUUUAUAGGGAAAAAAAAAAUGUGAAAGAAAAUUGGCACGUCUGGACGGUCCUAAAACAAAAAACCACGCAAAACUGCGU
rnacentral:rRNA from 1 species